GCAGCAGGAGGCCCCCUUAGAUAAAGUGGUGCUUCAGGUUAAGAAAGGACCUCCGGAACGAAUUAAGUACUUAACCUGAGGUACCCCUGUAACCAAAAAAAGCUUCCUUGGGAUUCAUUUGUGAGGAAUAAGGUGAAUAGAGCCUGGUAUUUUUAAUUACCGGUACGUUGUUGGAAUUACUGUAUCCGGAUAGCUUCAGAGCGUUUUUAGAGCCCACCCCCAAUUUGAACAGCAGACCCCUUUAAAGAUUAUAUUAUAUUAUAUUAUAUACACUGCCCCAUACUAGCAAUCAAGUUCUGAUGCACUCCAACUCUGGCUCAUAUGUUACUAAUGCUUAAUUGUAGUAAGUUUAGAUCAACUAAAUAUUUUUCUUAAAUGUAUAAUUGAUUGUGUAGGGAAGGAAGAGCUGGAAGAAUGGAAAUCAUACAUCAUUUCAUUAUUAAUGGCAAUGUCUAAAUAAAAUGCAGACCUUGUCAUAUUUAAUGGAUGGCUGAGUACAUUCUGCUCCAAAACACAAGGCGUUCUUUUUUCAAUUUUUUUUUUAAAGAAGUGCCUGAAUAAUUUUAACUGGAUUGGGUGGGAUUUAACAUUGUUAGAGAUGUGUACAAAUUAUUCUAGAUGUAGAAACUUUGGGAGCAAAAUAAAUAAAUACGGGGGAAGAGGAUGAGGAUCCGGCAAUUGUAAAAACUGUAUGUGUGCGUAUGCGUGUGCAACUGUAUAGACAUAAUAGUUAAAAAAAAUUAUCUCAGUAAUAUAUGGAAAGAGACUUAUUAAACAAACAGAUAAAAUUACAUGCGUUGUGACUGUAGGUUUUGGUACCAGUCCACUUUUUUAAAGGGAAGUCAGGCGAACCGUUUGUGGAACAACUUUGAGCUUUUCAGCCUGGUGCGAAAAAAGUUGAAGAAGUAACUUAGCCUUGUGGUUCUGGUCUCCACUGAAGAAUUAAACUACUGUACUCUGAGUGAUUCUUGAGAUUUACCGGUGUCAGGAAGGUUCUCGGUCAUUGUAUUCUUUAUAGCACUACAGUUUCAGAGUUUAAAUAUUAGGGACAUCGUGGAACAGUAGCAUCUGUACCAGUAAAUGCUGAGAAAUUGGGUCAUUCUGCAAUUAGGGAAAUUACUGCUCGAGAACGUUUAUUCAGAAAAAAAGGCCUGCUCCUUGAAAUUGUAGCAUAGCCUUUAAAAUAAGUAGCAUGUGGCAGCUCUGCUGUGUGAUCUCAAUCCAUGCUCGUCAAAGCAUUUUCACGUAAGAUCAGGAAUAUCAGUGGGGCCUGGCUGCCUCUUGAGAGUCUUUCUAUGAUUCAUUUUUUCUAAUCUUAUUCAGCUGGUCCCACUAAGGGUAAGCUAUCCAGGAAAAAGUUGUGUGCUAGCUUCCCUGUAGAAUUACAGGGAUUUGAAAUCAUGGUUAAAUCCUAUUGAUAUGAUAUGCAUAUUUAUUAAUAGUAUUUAUGUGCUGGUCAAAAAUAACGCUAGGCUAUAUCUGGAUUGGACUCCCAUCCCCCCCCGCUCACAUGUCUGUGAUGAUGUAUGUGCUUCUACUAUGAUGUAGACUUUAAAAUGUUAAGUGACGGGAAACACACUGAUAGCUUGCUUCCCAUUGCUUUCCUGCCCUAACUAUGAGUAUGCAAGGGAGCCCUUUACCAAAGGAUUUCUCAUUUCAAACCAACUUCUAUAGUUAGUGAGGGUUAAAUGGGGAAUAGGGAAAGUAGGAAGCAUGCGGACGCUUCAUUUCAUGCAAAGAGAGGCCAAACUGCUGUCCAAACAGGGUCAGAGAUCCAUGAAAACUGAUCUAGGAUUGCGAUUUCACGCGUGGCUGUUAACAAGUGACUGCAUACCCUCCAACAUUUCUCUGAUGAAAAUAGGGAUGUCCUAAGAAAAAAGGGGGACAUUCUGGGAUCAAAUUAGAACCUGGGACGGUUUCUGUAAAUCCAGAAUUGUCCCUGGAAAAUAGGGCCUUUUGGAGGGCCUGCGACUGUUACAAAAGUUUCAGUGCAAAAUAGGCACCUAAUUUCACUGUUAGGUGAAACCUAAGCAUACCCAGUACUGCAAAAGGCUGCAAUCCUGAACCCACUUACCCAAAAGUAACCCCCACUGAACUUGGCGAGACUUAUCUCUGUUGUGUAAACAUGCACAGACUUGUGCUGUUAGAGUUAUUGCUUCUCAUAGUGGUUUCUAAGUAUUUAAUAUAAAUACUAAUAAAUGUUAUGGUAUAAAUUCCCUGAUAAUAAAUGUUAUGGUAUAAAUUCCCUGAGCCUCAAAGAACAAAAUGAGAGUAAUUGUGUAAAGUAUUGGUGUGAUUCUCCCCCCCCCCCAAAGAUCUGUGGCCUCAAGGCCCAUGGAAGAACUGCCAAAGAUAAGUGCCAAUCUGCCUAGUUAGCCUUUUUUAAGGGGAAGGUAGGUUGUGACCAAUGCUGCCAUUUCAAUGUCUGCUUGCAUAGUGAAAUGUCCCCUUCCCUUCAUUCCUUUCUGCUCAAAAUCUGCUCCAAAAAGUUUGGAGCCCCUCCUGAGCAGUAUUUAGGAGGCAGGUGGUGGGAGGAGAGGAAAGGGAAAUCGCAGUCUGUGAAAAUGGAAUUCCGGAACUGGAUACAAGCUUCUACCUCGGGUUGCAAACGCUUCAGGUUACGAACUCCGCUAACCCGGAAGUAGUUGCUCCGGGCUGCAAACUUUGCCCCAGGAUGAGAACGGAAAUCUCGCACCGGCGGCACAGCGGGAGGCCCCAUUAGCAAAAGUGCGCCUCAGGUUAAGAACGGCUUUGGGUUAAGAACGGACCUCCGGAACGAAUUAAGUUCAUAACCAGAGGUACCACUGUAAUUAGUAUGCACACAUUCUGCUUUGUCAUGGAGCUCAUGGUGCUGCCCCAUCUAGCUUGCAGAAUAAGUGCACCCCCACUUACCUUCAGCAGUGCUAAAGUGUUUGAAGUUCCCACAUCAUCCACUGGGCCUGGGGCUGCAGUAUUUGCCAGGGAUUUGCUCUGCCUCCCACUCCCCGCUGUAGUAUUUGUUACAGCAUUGAUUCAUUCCUGAUCUAGACUUUAGGAGUUUUUAGAUCUUUAUUCUGGAGAACAGCAUUUCAUCUCAUCAUAAAAUCUUUAAUGUACGGCAAAUAUGCUCGUCUUUUUAAAGCUUUCAACUCAAUCCUUUGAUGUUCCUUUUAGAAAGUUAACUAAUACAUCACAAUGGCCUCCUCAAAUGAGUGCUCUUGGAGAGAAAAAAUGUUGCUCUACAAUGUUAAGAAGGAAAACACAAAUAAAGGUACUCAAAUAUUUAUAAAAGCAUUCAGUAGAUCAAAACGGUUCAUUAUGCCUUUAGACACUUCUCUUCAUGACUGAGGAGUUACACCCCAUCCUAUUUAUGCCAUGUAGCAUUUUCUUUUGUUGUUUCUUUAAUUUGCAGCAUCUAAUCAAUAAGUUUCUUAAAUUUAGACAUAUUUAUGGAAAUAUGUUCUAUAUUCAAAGUGGGACACUUCAGAGAGCAGUACUUUUGGGACAGACUUGGGUAUAAAUGUCUAUUUGGUGUUGGAUUUACUGGGUCAAUGUGGUGUUUUAUUUAGUGCUAUUUUUCUAGAAAAAGAGGAGCCAGAACCCACCAUGAACGCCUCCCUUGUCCUCUUAUAAUGGCAAUGGCACCCACUUGAGAGGUGCCAGAAUUGAGUUCCAGCGAAUUCCAGCUGAAAAAAAAGCCCUGGUUUUAUGGCUUCUCAGCCUCAGUUCACCAUCUUUAAAAUGUGAAAAGUAUACAAGUCUCCUUCACAUGGUUGUUGUGAAAAGAGGCCAGAUAAAUAUUCUAUAGCACUUUUUAAGGACACUGAAAACAAUAUCCUU